rnacentral:pre_miRNA from 1 species
ACAUGAACACCUGGAGCUCUUGUUUAGCUGCAAAUUCUAAUUCAGAAGGUCUGAGAAGGGGCCCAAAGUUUUGCAAUUCUAGCAAGUUCACAGGUUGUGUUGAU